UACGAAGGGGGCUAGCGUUGCUCGGAAUCACUGGGCGUAAAGCGCACGUAGGCGGAUCUUUUAAGUCAGGGGUGAAAUCCCAAGGCUCAACCUUGGAACUGCCUUUGAUACUGGGGAUCUCGAGUCCGGAAGAGGUUGGUGGAACUCCGAGUGUAGAGGUGAAAUUCGUAGAUAUUCGGAAGAAACACCAGUGGCGAAGGCGGCCAACUGGUCCGGCACUGACGCUGAGGUGCGAAAGCGUGGGGAGCAAACAGG
rnacentral:rRNA from 1 species